GGCAGAUAGAUCGUCCUUUGGGAGGAGCUCUGGCUGUCUCGUGACGCAGCGUGGCAAGGUGCUCUUAGCUGACCUUAUUGCUUCGGCUUAUAUGAACGGUGCUUUCGUGCGUGUUCUUGCCACUGUGGGCCCUUGUUAAAGGCUAAGUCCUUUCUGAACCAUGCCAUGUUUAGUUUAUAACAUCGUUGUUCCAGUACUGUUCUGAAACCUGAUGAUUCACCAGCAGCCAGGUGUUAAAUCUCAGAACGUGGACCGCUGGCAUCAGAGUCACCUGAGGAACCCAACCCUGCCUCCUUGGAAUAAGGCGGCCAGGAAUAUGAGUAAAGAUUUCCUUCAAGAAACAAAGGCUCCACUGGCUACUAACAAAAUAACCGUCCUUCCUCAGCCUGCUUUUCUCUGUCAAUAUUGCCUCUGUCCAAAUCUGGAUAGACUCCAAACCUACGACUUGUGCUAACAACCUCAAGAGAUGGUGAGAAACGGGCUUUUUUUCUAUAAAAAGUGGCUAACAUACAAAGGGCCAAUACUCUAAAAAUCUCCACCUUGUAAAGUUUCUAUUCAAGUAUUUUAAUCACCUGGAAAACUUGUUUAUACAAAGGCCUUUCAUUCUGAUGACAAGAGCCUCUGACCCCUUCCCUCCUUCCUUUGCAUCUAUAGGGAGCUAUCCAACCAUGGCAGAUUCUGAGGUGGAGCUCUCUCCAAUAGGACGAGACACAGUCAUCACCUAUGUUAGAAUAACAACUGAACUUCCUGCCCUAGUGUGCUUGCAAGGUCAGUUGGCUUAUGGCACACAUUUUUUAUUAAAAAAAAAAAAAAAAAAAAAA
rnacentral:sRNA from 1 species